CCCUCAAAAACCAGUAUAAACCCUUAAAAACCCAUAAAAACACUUAUAAACCCCUCAAAACCCACUAUAAACCCUUAAAAACCAUGAAGAACCCCUAAAAACACUUAUAAACCCCUAAAAAUUCAUUGCAAACCCUUAAGAACCACUAAAAUCCCUAAAAACACCACUAAACCCCUCAAAAACCACUAUAAACCGUUAAAAACCCCUAAAAACACUUAUAAGCCCCUGAAAAACCACAAUAAACCCUUAAAAGUCCAUAAAAACACUUAUAAACCCUUCAAAAACCAGUAUAAACCCAUAAAAGCCACUAAAAAAACCUAAAAACACUUAUAAACCCCUCAAAAAUCACUAUAAACAAUUACAAACCACCAAAAACCCCUUAAAAAGCCUAUACACCCCUCAAAAACCAGUAUAAACCCUUAAAAACCACUAAAAACCCAUAAAAACACUGAUAAACCCCUCAAAACCCACUAUAAACCCUUAAAAACCAUCAAGAACCCCUAAAAACAAUUAUAAACCCCUACAAAUUCAUUAUAAACCCUUAAGAACCGCUAUAAACCCUAAAAACACCAUUAAACCCCUCAAAAACAACUAUAAACCAUUAAAAACCCCUAAAAACACUUAUAAGCCCCUCAAAAACCACUAUAAACCCUUAAAAACCCAUAAAAACACUUAUAAACCCCUCAAAACUCACUAUAAACCCUUAAAAACCAAGAAAAACCCUCAAAAACACUUAUAAACCCCUAAAAAUUCAUUAUAAACCCUUAAGAACCACUAAAAACCCUAAAAACACCAAUAAACCCCUCAAAAACCACUAUAAACCGUUAAAAACCCCUAAAAACACUUAUAAGCCCCUCAAAAACCACUAUAGACCCUUAAAAGCCCCUAAAAACACUUAUAAACCCUUCAAAAACCACUAUAAAUCCAUAAAAGCCACUAAAAAAACUAAAAACACUUAUUAACCCUUGAAAAACCAUUGUAAUCCCUUAAAAACAAUUAAGAAUCCAUAAAAACACUUCUGAACCCCUCAAACGCCACUAUAAACCCUUAAAAACAAUGAAGAACCCCUAAAAACACUUAUAAACCCCUAAAAAUUCAUUGUAAACCCUUAAGAACCACUAAAAUUCCUAAAAACACCAAUAAACCCCUCAAAAACCACUAUAAACCGUUAAAAACCCCUAAAAACACUUAGAAGCCCCUCAAAAGCCACUAUAGACCCUUAAAAGCCCCUAAAAACACUUAUAAACCCUUCAAAAACCACUAUAAACCCAUAAAAGCCACUAAAAAAACCUAAAAACACUUAUUAACCCUUGAAAAACCAUUGUAAUCCCUUAAAAACCAUUAAAAAUAAAUAAAAAUACUUAUGAACCCCUCAAAAGCCAUUAUAAACCCUUAAAAAGCACUAAAAACACUUAUAAACCCAUUAAAAACCACUAUAAACCCCUAAAAACAUUUAUAAACCCUUCAAAAACCACUNAAACCCAUUAAAAACCACUAUAAACCCCUAAAAACAUUUAUAAACCCUUCAAAAACCACUAUAAACCCUUAAAAGCCACUAAAAAUCCUAAAAACACUUAUAAAUACUCAAAAACCAUUAUAAUCCUUUAAAAACCAUUAAAAAUCCCUAAAAACACUUAUAAACCCCUCAAAAAUCACUAUAAACAAUUGAAAACCACCAAAAACCCCUUAAAAAGCCUAUAAACCCCUCAAAAACCAGUAUAAACCCUUAAAACCCCAUAAAAACACUUAUAAACCCCUCAAAACCCACUAUAAACCCUUAAAAACCAUGAAAAACCCCUAAAAACACUUAUAAACCCCUACAAAUUCAUUAUAAACCCUUAAGAACCACUAAAAACCCUGAAAACACCAAUAAACCCC
rnacentral:lncRNA from 1 species